AGUUUCCAUGCCCCCUGGAUUGUCAUUGGUGCUGCAGUUUCAUUUUGUGACCGACACUAACGGGUAAUACCUGGCCGCAGGACUCUACUCGUUUUUGCGAUCACAAUACUGAAAUUGCAGCAAAGAGCAGCGACAAAUGGUGUAAAAACAAUCUGAAAAGUGAUGUGAUUAAGGGAAAAACCUACUGAAGUACAACUGCUACAAAUUAGAUUAACUAAUUAGUGAUCAGCGACUGAAUACUGACCCCAAUGUGAACAGAUUGAUAGAUACGGUACGGAAAUGUCACAGGAAUGCGUACUGAAAUUAUUUACGGAUGUCGCAAUAUCAAGAAGAGGCAAAUGGAAUUUCUGUUGUGCAUAAUCUCGUACGAAUACACGAAAAUUCUCUUUGAUAGAUAAGUUCAGUCAGUCAGUCAGCUGUCGAAGGUUGAAGGUUGAAGGUACCAAAAAGCAGGAAAACUUCACUCAAUAUCCUGCUCAUUAUUUCCCUCAGGCUUAUUCUGCUACGAUGGUGGAUGGCUGGGAAAUAACAAAUUGGGUUUGUUUUUCCAGGAACUCCAGCAGCAGCUGUGUAACCUGGGUAGGUUGAUGGCUGCUUGAUAUGCAUUGUAAAUGGAAAUUUUUCGUCACAAAUAGUGGCCCAAAAACAUGAAACGAACAGAGGGACGUCCGUCCCUCACAUGUACACGCACUUGUGGUACGUGGAGACGGGCAGGCGGAACACAUAAACAUGUCAGGAUACGUUGUGUGUGUCUAGCAGAUACAUUUACAUUUCCCCAUAACACCAUAACAACCAGCGACAUUUGUGCGUGGCUCGUUUUGUAUUCUGCUUUGGUGCCAGCGCCCAAAGAGCAGCUAUCCGGUCGGGCAAUGCUGGGAAUUAGUUCGCUUCUGGACCUGUCACACUCUGCUUUAGUUAUUAUUUAUAUUUGUGGCUCCUUUUGCCCCAAAAAACUCUGUCCGCAAGUGUCAGUUAGUCCUGUGGAAAUCCGACAAUCGUGGAGCCUCGUUAUGGCUUCCCACUUUCACUCUCCUUCAGCGAUUUGUAUUGAUUUUUGCUGCGAUAUUAACAUUCGAAAUGUUUGGCAUUUCUUGAUGACUUUCUUUAUGUGUCUGAUGGCUGCUGAUUGUCCAAACUGCCUUAUUGUGGGUUAAUAGAGCGAAAAGGCAUUUACUGGUUAAACGUGUUCCACUUAAGCCCUUGAGGUGACGGGAAUUAAAGUUUAAAAUUGAUUUGUGCUUGUACCAGGAAAUCUGCUCUAAAGUUUUAUUGCAGAAAAUGGAGCAUGCCAAGCCGGAGAUUUCUUGCAGAGCUGAAGCUGGUGCCGGAUAUUCUCCUUCUCGGAAAAGAGUUAAUCCUCAGUUAAUUAAGCCAAGCGGCCACAGUUUCCUGGAAGCAGCCUCGCAAACGGUAUGGAAUGUUCUUUGGAAUAUGGAAAGCGUUUUGAAAAUCGACUGGAAUGUUCCCGACACUAAACUAAAGACUCCCUAAAGCCUAAGUGAUAAAACAAAUCCCACUUGGGGCACAUAGCAGCCACUGUUGUGGGUCUUAAGUGGCCCUGUCAAUUAACGGCAAAGUUUUGGUUGCCAAAACAGCGAACGCGAUAAUGGGGCCAAGCCUCAUUAGGCUCUGCCUUCAGCAGCGUGAGUUCAGUCUAACUACCGCCAUAUCAGAUUGGAUUACGCAACGAAAGAUUAGCUACAGCUUGGGGUAGGGAGAGGCCUUGAAAAUAGUCUUCCUAUAAGAUUUAAGAUUUACUUUGGAGCAAAAUAGGAGCUGUAUGGAUCGAUUUAAUACGUUAUUCCUUCUGGUAACAAAACACCAAUCAAAUGCCUUAAAUGUAGGCCCAGGCUUUUGUUUCGCAUCAUUCAUGGAUUAUUCAUUUGGAAAUUAGUGUUUGUGUCCCACGAAUGGUUAUGCCACUCAAUUAUGCAAAAGACAGCAGGCAAAAACGUGCCAAAAGCCAUCGAUAGAGACAGCGGCUGUGGGUGGUGAAAACAAAGAGAAAGACACAGAUACAGAUACAGAUUUCAGAUACAAUUACAAUUUGCCAUUGUUUUGGCAGCCUGGCAGCAGUCGGCAGGCAGGCAGUGCCGGUCGUACAAUUUCAAUCAGAAUUAAUUUGGGUAGCCCUGCCCUCGGCAGCACUGGCUGUCAAAUCGGUAAUUGUGAUGACUGCCAUUCGGGAUAACUCUUAGAUACAUUCAUUAUAGCAGCUACUGAUGAGCCGAGUAGUUCCCCCUUAUAGUGGAGAAUAAAAUAAGCCUUUCUGGAGUGAUCUCUAUGCUCUGUACAUGUUUAAAAAUGCAUCAACAGCUUAGCGAAAUUGUUGUCUAAUGGGCCCCACCUGGGACUACAUGUAUCUCUGUCUUUAUGUCUCCACGUGGAGCUCUACUCCUGCGUGUGCGGCUGCCUUGUGGGUACUUCCCACCGCUCGCACUUUUCUUUGCAGCUAAAGAGACGGCAACUGUCUGUUUGACCCAGUUUCGAGGCUGUCUUGUCUACGUCUACUUCUGGUGACCCGGUUAAUUAUUCCCAGCCAUUAAGGGUAGUGCACUACUCCAAGCAUUUUCACUGGAAAAUUUUAGCUGCAAUUUGUUUUAAUUUCACUUAAAGACAACUUUAUAAUGACUGGGAAAAUGUGCAGCAGUGAGUCCUGUCUGCAAUAAAUAUUCUGCCUUCUUUUGCUCCGAAAUUUGUUUUAGAAGUGAGCUUUUGGGUGUAAGAUAACAAAACUUGUACUAGCUCAUAUAAAAUCUUAAUAUAAUGCUGGAGCAAGCAGCGGAAUCAGACUUCAACUCAAAUUAGCUUGCGGAAAAGGAUGACCUAAGUAACUAUGCAACGGGCAGGGCGCAGCAGAAAUCAGUUGUAGGCACCCAUAACAAUGUUUUAUCCAUGGCACAAAAUGCUGAAUAAUUUUGACAUGCGUUCAUACUAAUUAUAUUUAUGCGAGCCAUAGAACAAUAUCUGUUGAGUAGAGUAAAAAUAUUAACCACUAACAACGGCACCUUAUGCCAAAUAAAUUCUUCUUAAAUAACAUCAAAUAUUUCCAUAAUCUUGCAGCUUGUCCAACAACCUACAGAACACACUCCUCCACAGUAAAGUAUAAUCUUUCCCUUACUGUGUGCACUUUAGCUGGCAUUUAGAGUUGGAUGCCACUUUCCAUUGGACCACAGGAAGCCCACGCAACGCAGCUGCCACAAAGCCCGCGUGGCCCUGAAGUAAUGCUCAUCUGCACGUGGGCGCCUGGCUGGAUGCUGAUGUUUCUAUGGGGACGAAGCUGCUGCGCUGCGCACAUCAUCGGCAACUUAAUUGACGUUAAGCUGCUCCGCACAUGCUCCGAGACAGUGUGUGUUCCCUGUGUUCGGCCCCCAGCCGCACAUCUCCGUGGCAGCCAUCAAAUGCAAUUAAAAUUGAAUUUCAUUCCCCCCACUCACUUUAUGCAUGUGGAAGCCUUACGGCAGCCAGAUAUUAUAUACCAUGAUGCUGGGAGCUCAGCCAUGAGCCUGAACAUGUGUCUAGGUUGCACCCUAAGCACGAGGCUCUCCCAGCCCAGCUCUGCUGUGGCUGCAAGCUGACCAGCGUCCAGGCUCUAAUCACUGAGAAGUGCUCCGAUCCGAGUGCACUUCCAUGCGGUUGCACACUCGUCGCCCUCGCUCUUUUUAAAUACUCUUGUGGUCCGGUCCGGCUGGGUCCGACUGCCCUUGCCUUUGGCAAGUUCAGGUUCAGGGUCGCUGUCGUAGCUGCCGUGCGGCAAAAACAGCGACCAGCUGACGGUUGAUUGACAAGUUGGCCAAAUGGGAAGUCGUCUCGGAAAGGGGAACAGUGCGUGCGCGUGAGCUUUUAUAAAAAUAUCUACAGUUAAUUAACAAUUUCGCAAAGAAAAGCGUGCGACGGGCGACAAAGCAGAGCACAGCGGAGGCCCGAGCGAGCACCUUGAAAAAUGUAUGUGUAAUUUAAUGAACACGACACCCCGUCGGGUGCGCUCCUUCUGUCCGCCCCUCCCGCUCUUGUGCGGAAUGGCAGCUGCGGACUGCCAGGGAGAUUUAUCAAUUGCUUGGCGCUCGCACAGACAAGCGCAGGUCUGAAUAAGAUGAAUUUGGUGUCAUGGCAUGCAGGAAUUUUAGCCAUCGCGGAGGCACAACCCUGCCUAGAGAUAUGAGACACGGGUUCAACAUCAUUUACAUUGGAACGGAACU